AGUGAACGCUGGCGGUAGGCCUAACACAUGCAAGUCGAACGGCAGCACAGUAAGAGCUUGCUCUUACGGGUGGCGAGUGGCGGACGGGUGAGGAAUACAUCGGAAUCUACUUUUUCGUGGGGGAUAACGUAGGGAAACUUACGCUAAUACCGCAUACGACCUACGGGUGAAAGCAGGGGAUCUUCGGACCUUGCGCGAUUGAAUGAGCCGAUGUCGGAUUAGCUAGUUGGCGGGGUAAGGGCCCACCAAGGCAACGAUCCGUAGCUGGUCUGAGAGGAUGAUCAGCCACACUGGAACUGAGACACGGUCCAGACUCCUACGGGAGGCAGCAGUGGGGAAUAUUGGACAAUGGGCGAAAGCCUGAUCCAGCCAUACCGCGUGGGUGAAGAAGGCCUUCGGGUUGUAAAGCCCUUUUGUUGGGAAAGAAAAGCAGCAGGUUAAUACCCCGCUGUUCUGACGGUACCCAAAGAAUAAGCACCGGCUAACUUCGUG
rnacentral:rRNA from 1 species